GAGGGUACAGCUAAGUGACAGAGCACAUGCUUAGCAUGCACAAGGUCCUGGGUUCAAUUCCCAAUACCUCCA
rnacentral:tRNA from 1 species